rnacentral:rRNA from 1 species
CACGUAGGGUGCGAGCGUUGUCCGGAAUUAUUGGGCGUAAAGAGCUCGUAGGCGGUGUGUCGCGUCGGCCGUGAAAACCUGCAGCUUAACUGUGGGCGUGCGGUCGAUACGGGCAUCACUGGAGUUCGGCAGGGGAGACUGGAAUUCCCGGUGUAGAGGUGAAAUUCGUAGAUAUCGGGAGGAACACCGGUGGCGAAGGCGGCGACCUGGGUCGAGACUGACGCUGAGGCGCGAAAGCGUGGGGAGCAAACAGG